rnacentral:lncRNA from 1 species
CAAAUGACGACUAGUGACAAAAUAUAGGUGCAAGAAAUGUUUCAAUUUAAUUGCUUUUCAAGCUAGCUAUGUUUCGUGGUGAGAGAGGACUAAGUUCGUGAUUGGUGCCAAUAUUUGAAAAUUUUUGAUAGUCUUGGUUUUUUAGACUUAGGGGCUGCAAUGCACUCUUUAAAUCCCCAAAUGACGACUAGUGUCAAAAUAUAUGUACAAGAAAUGUUUCAAUUUAGUGUCUUUUCAAGUUAGCUAUGUUUGGUGGUGAGAUAGGACUAAGUUUGUGCUUGGUGCCAAGAUUUGGAAAUUUUUUAUAGUCCUGGUUUUUUAGACUUAGGGGCUGUAUUGCACUUUUUAAAUCCCCAAAUGACGACUAGUGUCAAAAUAUAUGUGCAAGAAAUGUUUCAAUUUAGUUACUUUUCAAGCAAGCUAUGUUUAGUGGUGAGACUGGACUAAGUUGGUACUUGGUGCCAAGAUUUGGAAACUUUUGAAACUCUUCAUUUUUUAGACUUAGGGGUAGCAAUGCACUCUUUAAAUCCCCAAAUGAUAAUUAGUGUCAAAAUAUAGGUGCAAGAAAUGUGUCCAUUUAGUUGCUUUUGAAGCAAGCUAUGUUUG